rnacentral:rRNA from 1 species
UACGAAGGGGGCUAGCGUUGCUCGGAAUGACUGGGCGUAAAGGGCGCGUAGGCGGACGGCUUUGUCGGGCGUGAAAUUCCAGGGCUUAACCUUGGGGCUGCGUUCGAGACGGGUUGUCUAGAGUUUGGAAGAGGGUCGUGGAAUUCCCAGUGUAGAGGUGAAAUUCGUAGAUAUUGGGAAGAACACCGGUGGCGAAGGCGGCGACCUGGUCCUUGACUGACGCUGAGACGCGAAAGCCAGGGGAGCAAACAGG